AACGAACGCUGGCGGCAGGCUUAAUACAUGCAAGUCGAACGGGCGCAGCAAUGCGUCAGUGGCAGACGGGUGAGUAACACGUGGGAACCUUCCUCGUUGUACGGAACAACUCAGGGAAACUUGAGCUAAUACCGUAUAAGUCCGAGAGGAGAAAGAUUUAUCGCAAUGAGACGGGCCCGCGUCGGACUAGGUAGUUGGUGAGGUAACGGCUCACCAAGCCAACGAUCCGUAGCNGAUCUGAGAGGAUGAUCAGCCACACUGGGACUGAGACACGGCCCAGACUCCUACGGGAGGCAGCAGUAGGGAAUCUUGGACAA
rnacentral:rRNA from 1 species